GUGGGGAAUAUUGGGCAAUGGGCGAAAGCCUGACCCAGCAACGCCGCGUGAGGGAAGAAGGUUUUCGGAUUGUAAACCUCUGUCCUUGGUGACGAACACAAUGACGGUAGCCAAGGAGGAAGCCCCGGCUAACUACGUGCCAGCAGCCGCGGUAAUACGUAGGGGGCAAGCGUUGUCCGGAAUGACUGGGCGUAAAGGGCGUGUAGGCGGCCGAUUAAGUCUGGAGUGAAAGUCCUGCUUUCAAGGUGGGAAUUGCUUUGGAGACUGGUUGGCUUGAGUGCGGAAGAGGCAAGUGGAAUUCCCAGUGUAGCGGUGAAAUGCGUAGAGAUUGGGAGGAACACCAGUGGCGAAGGCGACUUACUGGGCCGUAACUGACGCUGAGGCGCGAAAGCGUGGGGAGCGAACAGGAUUAGAUACCCGUGUAGUCC
rnacentral:rRNA from 1 species